GACAGGGGAUGCAAGCGUUACUCGGAAUUACUGGGCGUAAAGCGUCUGCAGGCUUCUUUCCACGUCUGGCGUAAAAGCACGGAGCUCAACUCCGUGUACGUGCCGGAAACGAGAGAGAUUGAGUCAUUCAGAGGCAUCUGGAAUGUCGUGUGUAGGGGUAAAAUCCGUAGAUCCACGAUGGAACGCCAAAAGCGAAGGCAGGAUGCUGGGAAUGUACUGACGCUCAGAGACGAAAGCGUGGGGAGCAAAGGGG
rnacentral:rRNA from 1 species